rnacentral:rRNA from 1 species
UACGUAGGGUGCAAGCGUUGUCCGGAAUUAUUGGGCGUAAAGAGCGUGUAGGCGGCCCGCCCAGUCCGCUGUGAAAGUCCAGGGCUCAACCCUGGAAUGCCGGUGGAUACUGUCGGGCUAGAGUCCGGAAGGGGCGAGUGGAAUUCCUGGUGUAGCGGUGAAAUGCGCAGAUAUCAGGAGGAACACCAAUGGCGAAGGCAGCUCGCUGGGACGUGACUGACGCUGAGACGCGAAAGCGUGGGGAGCAAACAGG